GUUUGUUUAAAACGGGCGUGUGAUUGACGUGAUUGUGAUACCGGAGGAUCCUUUUCCAAAAUUGUUGUAUAAAUAAAGCAUAAAGAUCGAUCGGCAUAAGGAUAUAUUGAAUGAGCAAGUUACUCUUCGCUUCUUUUCUUUUUUCGUGGGAUUUAGGUUUAAAACAUAUGCCAUCAUAGAAAAGAGGAAGAUAACUCUGUAGCAAGACAAUUCCAUUGCCA